GUCAGAUGCAAACUGAAUCUUUUUGACACAAACUUCUAUAUUUGUCAUUACAGAGAUUCAGUCUGAAGGUGAACACUAAGUAAUUCAUGACAUUUAUUAGAGAAAAGACUGUUUUAUAAUAUAACAGAUAUUCAUUUCAGAUGCACUGACACAACUGAACCAAGGCGUGUGUUUUUCUUCAGAUUUAAGUUUUAUUUCGUCAAAAACUGUUGGAAACAGAGGAAUAAUUUGAGAAACCUCUACAUAGCAAAUGAUUUUCUAUCUUAAAAAGCAGACCUACUUUAAACAUAUUAAACAUCUAUUUCACCCUAGUUAAGUCUGGCCCAGUCAUAUAAGAGCAACGACAGUAAAAGAAACCGCCAAUAUUAUCAUGCAUAUAUUUCUUAGUGUAAGUAUUUUAAGGAACAUGUGAACAGAACUCUUGUUCUUCCAUAGAAUACAUGUAAUUCCUGCACAAACAUGGUGAAUAAAAAAAGGCACAUGGCUUGACAUGAAGUUAUCACUGGAAACAGACAGAAAUAGAAAACAAAUUUGAUAAGGUGCACAUUUCUACCCUCAUAAAUCUUCAAGUGCAAAGAAGUCUGCAGGAAAAGACAGAGACAGAGGCCGUACUGACUGAAUUUAUAAAGUAUAAAUGCACAGUGUUACAGCCCAUAAUAAAGCAGACUUGAUUUAGACUGCAGGGUUACUGGGGACGUCCUCCAGCAGUGGUUUGUAGAACUCUGGGUUUUCAGUUUCCUAAGAGAAAGAAUAUCAGUAAAACGUACAAUAAAGGAAGAGUCUGACAUUUUAGGUAUUGUAGAUUUCUUAAAAGUCAGAGAAGAUAAACAUAAUGUUUGCACGUGUUCAUAAAAAGGAACAGUUAGUAAUUCAUUUCUAUUUUUCUUCCUUUACCUUGGUUUCUCCACUUCCUCUCUUCUUCAGAGCUUUGAUGCCCAGGACAACCACACUGAUGACGAUGCAGAGCUCCAGGACUGACAGGAUGAUCAGGACAAUGUUGAUGCUUCUCACCAUCAUCUGA
rnacentral:lncRNA from 1 species